UGAGACGGGAUGUUAAUGUUUUGAUCUAUCUCGAUGUCAGAAAAGCUUUAGAAGAGGGAAUGAAGUUUUACAUUUCAGAGAACAAGGUAAUCUUGACUGAAGGUUUUGAUGGUGUUGUGCCAGUCAAGUACUUCGAGAAAAUAGAAUCGUGGCCCGAUAGAAAGCCGAUACCUUUCUGAACCUGCAUCAGUUGGGGUGCAAUCAUUCCAUUUCUUCUUUUCCUAUUUUUUUUUAUAGUUUUUAUAGUUUUUUAUUUAUUUAAAGUUUUAUGAAGAACGAUCUCCUUUUCCUUUUUGAUCCAUUGGCUGGUCGUCUCAGCUUAAUGAGAUGUAAUUUUUGUAACACACGUUAAGCUGGUCGUCGUAGUUAGCAAUCAAUGGAAAUGAGACUGGCGCUUUUGAUUUUCAGCUUGAA